GAUCCAUCAAGGACCUGAACAGAAUAUUACUUCUGAGCUACCAUAUUGCUUCAAGACAAACAUAUAUGAUGUCCCUGGAAAGAGUGGAAAAUCUCCUUAACUGAUGGGGACAGACAUGAGGCCCUCGGCACCUGCUGAGUUCUCUCCAAUAAGAAAUGCUUCCCUGGGGUCCUUGGGGACAUCACAUAUGUGACCCCCUCCCAUGGGUCCCAUGGUAUUCUCAGGCUUCUCUGGAUAAGAAUGUACUCUCUCCUGGAGGCCCCUGCACACAUGACUUUGGUGGGAAGACCUGUCCAAUUCCCCUGACACAUCCAGAUCCACCUAAGAGUAGUGAUGGCUGGAGUUCCAGCUCAGCAGCAACUUGGAUCUCGUACAACCAUUCCCUGUUGGGUCUGUGAUGCCACUUUGUCAACUGAUUUGAACCAAUGGACAUAAGAAGUCCAGCAUGGAGCAAGAUGAGCUCUUGUCUGCAUAAGGCUAUGGACUGGUAUGGAUAAGGGGAUGCUGCAGUAGUUGGAAAGUCAUUCUUCACCUCUGCCACUUUUUUUUUUAAGAUUUUAUUUAUUUAUUCUUGAGAGACAGAGAGAGAGAGAGAGACAGAGACAUAGGCAGAGGGAGAAGCAGGGUCCAUGCAGGGAGCCUGAUGUGGGACUCGAUCCCGGGACUCCAGGAACAUGCCCUGGGCCAAAGGCAGGCGCUAAAUUGCCAGGUGCCCCUGCCAGACAUUUUCACUGGAGUCAGACUUCAGCAAGUCAUAGAGUCCAAUGGGGAAUUAAGAGUUCUAGACCAAAAGAGCAGACAAACUCUUUCUCAAGAGCAUAGGCUAUGAAGGAAAGGACAAAGAUGAGAUGGUAGGUAGCUAAAGACAACCAUGAAGUUGAACUUUGGGGCCUUUUUUUGUUGAGGUGGGACAAAUUUGGAUGGAAGCCAAAUAUCAUAAUUUAUUUCUUGUCUUCAUGUUAUACUCCUUUCUGUUUUUGCGGUCCAAUUGGUUCUUUCAUUAUUUAUUGAAUCUACACAAAACAUACAAUGAUACUCUGUAACUUGUACAGAUCCAACCAUGACAGCCCUGAUCACUUUGGCCUCUUCAGUGUUUUGUCCUAUUCUGUCCUGGGAAGGGGAGGGGCUGAGGCACCAUCAAGAUAAGGUGGUUGGACUCAUGGUGGUAUUUGGGGCAUGGUCCCUCACCACACAAACCCUCUGAGGAACAGGAUCUUCAGCCCUCAGGCAUGGUCAAGAAGAGAGCAGUGGAGGGCAGGGUUCCAGAGUGCUUCUCGUCACCUUGCUGUCACUAAGGAGAUGGGUGACUCAUGGCCUGGUUAGGGGUCACAGAGCAGAGUCUUCACUGGCUGUCAAGACAAGCUCCUUGUGAACUUGGCCACAGUAACUUCUUGCAAGAUACAUCCACGAAAACAAAAGAAACAAAAGCAAAAAUGAACUAUUGGGACUUCAUCAAGAUAAGAAGCUUUUGCACAGCAAAGGAUACAGUCAACAAAACUCAAAGACAACCUACAGAA